GAUGAACGCUGGCGGCGUGCCUAAUACAUGCAAGUCGAGCGAACAGACGAGGAGCUUGCUCCUCUGACGUUAGCGGCGGACGGGUGAGUAACACGUGGAUAACCUACCUAUAAGACUGGGAUAACUUCGGGAAACCGGAGCUAAUACCGGAUAAUAUAUUGAACCGCAUGGUUCAAUAGUGAAAGACGGUUUUGCUGUCACUUAUAGAUGGAUCCGCGCCGCAUUAGCUAGUUGGUAAGGUAACGGCUUACCAAGGCAACGAUGCGUAGCCGACCUGAGAGGGUGAUCGGCCACCCUGGAACUGGGCCACGGUCCAGACUCCUGCGGGAGGCAGCAGUCGGGAAUCUUCCGCAAUGGGCGAAAGCCUGACGGAGCAACGCCGCGUGAGUGAUGAAGGUCUUCGGAUCGUAAAACUCUGUUAUUAGGGAAGAACAAAUGUGUAAGUAACUAUGCACGUCUUGACGGUACCUAAUCAGAAAGCCACGGCUAACUACGUG
rnacentral:rRNA from 1 species